rnacentral:rRNA from 1 species
AUUAAACGCUGGCGGCAUGCCUUACACAUGCAAGUCGAACGGCAGCACGGGGGCAACCUUGGUGGCGAGUGGCGAACGGGUGAGUAAAGCAUCGGAACGUGCCCUGGAGUGGGGGAUAACGUAGCGAAAGUUACGCUAAUACCGCAUAUUCUGUGAGCAGGAAAGCAGGGGAUCGCAAGACCUUGCGCUCUGGGAGCGGCCGAUGUCGGAUUAGCUAGUUGGUGGGGUAAAGGCCUACCAAGGCGACGAUCCGUAGCGGGUCUGAGAGGAUGAUCCGCCACACUGGGACUGAGACACGGCCCAGACUCCUACGGGAGGCAGCAGUGGGGAAUAUUGGACAAUGGGCGCAAGCCUGAUCCAGCCAUGCCGCGU